AGAGUUUGAUCAUGGCUCAGAUUGAACGCUGGCGGCAGGCCUAACACAUGCAAGUCGAACGGUAACAGGAAGCAGCUUGCUGCUUCGCUGACGAGUGGCGGACGGGUGAGUAAUGUCUGGGAAGCUGCCUGAUGGAGGGGGAUAACUACUGGAAACGGUAGCUAAUACCGCAUAAUGUCGCAAGACCAAAGAGGGGGACCUUCGGGCCUCUUGCCAUCGGAUGUGCCCAGAUGGGAUUAGCUUGUUGGUGGGGUAACGGCUCACCAAGGCGACGAUCCCUAGCUGGUCUGAGAGGAUGACCAGCCACACUGGAACUGAGACACGGUCCAGACUCCUACGGGAGGCAGCAGUGGGGAAUAUUGCACAAUGGGCGCAAGCCUGAUGCAGCCAUGCCGCGUGUAUGAAGAAGGCCUUCGGGUUGUAAAGUACUUUCAGCGGGGAGGAAGGGAGUAAAGUUAAUACCUUUGCUCAUUGACGUUACCCGCAGAAGAAGCACCGGCUAACUCCGUGCCAGCAGCCGCGGUAAUACGGAGGGUGCAAGCGUUAAUCGGAAUUACUGGGCGUAAAGCGCACGCAGGCGGUUUGUUAAGUCAGAUGUGAAAUCCCCGGGCUCAACCUGGGAACUGCAUCUGAUACUGGCAAGCUUGAGUCUCGUAGAGGGGGGUAGAAUUCCAGGUGUAGCGGUGAAAUGCGUAGAGAUCUGGAGGAAUACCGGUGGCGAAGGCGGCCCCCUGGACGAAGACUGACGCUCAGGUGCGAAAGCGUGGGGAGCAAACAGGGUUAGAUACCCUGGUAGUCCACGCCGUAAACGAUGUCGACUUGGAGGUUGUGCCCUUGAGGCGUGGCUUCCGGAGCUAACGCGUUAAGUCGACCGCCUGGGGAGUACGGCCGCAAGGUUAAAACUCAAAUGAAUUGACGGGGGCCCGCACAAGCGGUGGAGCAUGUGGUUUAAUUCGAUGCAACGCGAAGAACCUUACCUGGUCUUGACAUCCACGGAAGUUUUCAGAGAUGAGAAUGUGCCUUCGGGAACCGUGAGACAGGUGCUGCAUGGCUGUCGUCAGCUCGUGUUGUGAAAUGUUGGGUUAAGUCCCGCAACGAGCGCAACCCUUAUCCUUUGUUGCCAGCGGUCCGGCCGGGAACUCAAAGGAGACUGCCAGUGAUAAACUGGAGGAAGGUGGGGAUGACGUCAAGUCAUCAUGGCCCUUACGACCAGGGCUACACACGUGCUACAAUGGCGCAUACAAAGAGAAGCGACCUCGCGAGAGCAAGCGGACCUCAUAAAGUGCGUCGUAGUCCGGAUUGGAGUCUGCAACUCGACUCCAUGAAGUCGGAAUCGCUAGUAAUCGUGGAUCAGAAUGCCACGGUGAAUACGUUCCCGGGCCUUGUACACACCGCCCGUCACACCAUGGGAGUGGGUUGCAAAAGAAGUAGGUAGCUUAACCUUCGGGAGGGCGCUUACCACUUUGUGAUUCAUGACUGGGGUGAAGUCGGAACAAGGUAACCGUAGGGGACCUGCGGUUG
rnacentral:rRNA from 1 species